UGGUCUGUGGUGAAGCGGUUAACACUCGGAGCUUUGACCUCCGCAUUUUUCCUGGGUUCGAGUCCCAGCAGGCCAA
rnacentral:tRNA from 1 species